AACGCAGGGUCGUCUUGCCUCGAUCCACAUGUGAAGUUAUGGUUACAAUGCAAGCGUAAAAGGAAGCUCCUCCUGAUAUGCAAUGCAGGACAAAUCCUCCUUCAAAGUGUAAAAGUGAAUGAUGGUGUAACGGCAAAGGAUAUAACUGCAGAAAUGUUCAACAAAGAAGCUGGACGUAGUUGAGGAGUGCAAAUUGAGAAUGGUUUAUGUUUCUCCACCACCAGUUCAAGAAGAAGGGUCGGAGGAGGGAUCUUCAGCGGGAGUCUCUGUUUCAGAUGGCAGGCAUGCAAAUGCUGCUGAGUUUGCUUCGGGUGCAAGAGCAUUUACCGAAGGGCUUGAAGCUCAAGAUAUGUCUUCCGAGGCAAGAGCUCUUGUAACAAACUGACUGAGGAAA